rnacentral:rRNA from 1 species
CCUACGGGUGGCAGCAGUGGGGGAUAUUGCACAAUGGGGGGAACCCUGAUGCAGCGACGCCGCGUGGGUGAAGAAGCGCCUCGGCGCGUAAAGCCCUGUCAGCAGGGAAGAAAAUGACGGUACCUGAAGAAGAAGCCCCGGCUAAUUACGUGCAAGCAGCCGCGGGAAUACGUAGGGGGAAAGCGUUAUCCGGAUUUACUGGGUGGAAGGGGGGCGCAGACGGCGAUGCAAGCAAGGAGGGAAAGCCCGGGGCCGAACCGCGGGAGUGAUCUUGGAACUGCGUGGCGGGAGUGCAGGAGGGGCAGGCGGAAUUCCUAGUGUAGCGGUGAAAUGCGUAGAUAUCAGGAGGAACACCGGUGGCGAAGGCGGCCUACUGGACUGCAACUGACGUUGAGGCCCGAAAGCGUGGGGAGCAAACAGGAUUAGAUACCCCUGGUAGUC